GACGAACGCUGGCGGCGUGCCUAACACAUGCAAGUCGAACGAAGAGCCAUGGAAGCUUGCCUCUAUCCAUCUUAGUGGCGAACGGGUGAGUAACGCGUAAUCCACCUGUCCUUGAGAGGGGUACAACCGUUGGAAACGACCGCUAAUCCCACAAACGAUCUAAUCUCGGCAUCCAGGAUAGAUGAACGGUGGCCUCUACACUUAAGCUCUCACCGAAGGCGGAUAUUUCGUCUGAUUAGCUAGUUGGUGGGGUACCGGCCCACCAAGGCGAUGGACAGUAGGCGGUCCGAGAGGAGGAACUGCCACAAUGGGACGGAGACACGGCCCAGAACCCUAGGGGAGGCAGCAGUGGGGGAACCUCCGCAAUGGACGGAAGGCUGAAGGAGCAACGCCGCGUGAGUGAUGGAGGCCUUCGGGUUGUAAAACUCUUGUAAUCGGGACGAAAGGAAUGCGUGCGUAUAGUGGGAAGUAUUGACGGUACCGGAAUAGAAAGCCACGGCUAACUACGUG
rnacentral:rRNA from 1 species